rnacentral:lncRNA from 10 species
CUUCUGUCCAGCGCAGCCCUGAGGUGCCAGGUCCAGUGACACAAGGCUCUGUGCUGUGAGGAUGCAUUCCUCUGGAGUGGGCCAAGGUCCACUGGCUGGGGAGGAUCUGAAUAGGCCUAGGCUUCAGAGCGCUCCCUGGGCUGAGCUUGGACCUCGGGUCCAGAGAGACCAUCUCCAGAGAGGAAGGUUGGCUUCAGGGCUGCCCAGCUGGUGCAGAUGGGGUCUGGGCCUCUCCAAGAGUGACUCCCACCUGCAGCUCUCUGACCAGACCAGAAACCCGCAGGAAGAGCUGGCGUGAGCCCAGGGCCCCAUGCAGGUCUCCUCCCAUCCUUCCUACCAGGCCAGCAUUUCUACUCUGUGCAGCUACCAGCGAGGAGGGCCUGUGGGCUCAAAGACCCAACAGGAAUUCCUGCAGAAGCCCCAUAGCUUGAAGAGGGACCGUGGGAUGAAUGAGCCUGCAUGCAGCCUGGAAUGCAAAGAUCAGCCCUCCUCAGUGACCCCGGGAGCCCAGGAAGAUCAAGGAUCGAGACUGUCGCCCUGGACCUGCCUGCUGUGUAGCUCUGGGUGCAAGUCAAAGAUCAAGCUGAAGUAAAGUUCACCUGCAUCUCGUUAUUGGGCCAUGAGAAAUAGCAGCCCGACCCUCAGUUUGAUCCAGGAACAAUCUCACCAGGGCUUGCCAUCAGCCCAGGACAAUUGACAAGACACUGCUCUCGGGCACCAGAUACACCAACCGAGCGAUUCUCAGAACCCCUAGCAUGGGCCACAAACCAAACACGCAGAGCCGCAGCGAGGACAGAGGGUGCCGCGUGGCCCUUCCUGACAUUCUUUCAUCUGCACACUGUACCGUCAACUCAUUUUCUGCACGGAAUGAAGAUACAUCACUCUGCUCUGGAAAACUACAUUUAGCAUCUCCUUCUUUUUGUGGGGCAGGGAAGUUUUCAUCGACAAAGCGUUUGUAUUGCAGAUGGCUCACCAUAUGCCACGUUCCUGCACGUUAUCACCUUGUAAGCAGAUUCUGUCAGGUUUUAGGAGUAAAAGCUUAAUUAACAAGUGGUGUGUACAAUUAUGUACUUAAUUAUCUACUGCUUUUAUUUCUUUGUUGUUUCUUGUUUUCCAAAAGUUUGGUAACAAUUACAGGCAACUGUUGCCUAAUGCAAU